rnacentral:ncRNA from 1 species
UUUUAUAGGCAAACCUAAAGAAAUUUAGGGACGCAAAGCUAUAGGGGUUAAGGUUUUUUAACUAUACCAGCCAGUUGC